rnacentral:lncRNA from 1 species
UACUAAAUAAUUCUAAAAUUAUAAUGAUCAUCAUCUCAUCUUAGGUCAUAUGGCAGUAACUCCACUGUCACUCAGUUUAAAGUACUGUUUGUUUUCCUAAAUCAUCUCAUCUAAAACAGCUUUUCUAGUGGGUUUCAGUGAUAUAAUAUUCUUUAUCCUUUCACUAAGUCGUUUUCUCCCUUCUUUCUCUUAAAAAAAAUCAACAGCUUGACCAAGUCAUCCGCCAAAGAAGCCUGUCCAGUUUGGAGCUGUUCCUCUCCUGUGCACAGAAACAGUUAAGUGCUUUAAUAGCUACGGAACCAGUUGACAUUGAAUAAAGAACAUGACAAGCUAACCCACACUGGUAUUGCAUAAAUCAUUAGACGUCUAAAAUACAUGCCAUGAAUUAUAAAGAUGCUUUUGGUUUAUUUUAUUUUUUUUCCAAGCCUUGGAGAAAUGAUUUCCAGUUCAAGGAUAAGGCAAAACAAUAUUUAGAAGAACUACCAGGGAAUUUAAUUUAUUUUCUCUUAUUUUCUCCCUUACAUUUAUUAUUUUAUUUGUAGUAGUAACAGCAACAGAGUAUAAUAUGACCCAAAAGCCAUUGAAAAAUGCCACAUUAUCAAAAGGCAAUUAAGUAAAUUUCAUAUCCUCUGGUGGCCUAUUAUACUGCCUUUGGCAAAAGAAAUAAAUAUCUUUAUGAUUGCUUUAUGAUAAUUUUUGAUAAGAUGCUAGAAUGUAAUCAUGGAUUUAUUUGAUUUCAAGGAUAGAAAUAACAUAUUUCAUCAACUAUUUACCUAUGUAAUUUGGAUGAAAUGCUGGAUAUGAUAGAGAAUUAUUCUGAUAUUACUAAACCUCUUUUCUGAAGUUGGAUCUAUAUACUUUGAUUGGUCUACUGAACAACAAAAUAGAAAUAAAAACACUAAGGAUAAUGAUAUUAAUUCCACUUUGAUCUGAUAUCCCACUUAAACUCAAGGAGUAUGUGUGAUAUAUGCUUAUUUCCUAUUUCUGCUCUUUAAAGGCAGUGUAAAUCAAUGAGGUCAUUUAUCCUAUGAAUUGAAUCAUGAACUCACUCUCUAGACAGAGAACAUAACUCAGCCACUUAUAGGAAUUCAGGUUCAAACGUAGGAUAUGUAAUAUAUGAUAUAUAUCUUUUCUCAGUACUUUGGAAUGUUAAUUCAUGAACACUGUGCUUCAGUGCAAAAUCACAAGCAUUUUAACAUCAAAACUAAAAUGUCAAUAAAAUGUAUGGAUGAAAACAUUUUGUCUUAUUUUCUGAAAUGCUUCUACUUUCAUGGGCUUAGUACUUUUAUGGGAUUUC